rnacentral:misc_RNA from 1 species
AAAAAAAAUAGUGGUACCGGAGAAGUGUCAUAUUAUAGCUAUUGGUUGGUAAAUUUGCAACCGUGCAAAGUCUCAAAUAUGUGAAUAUGGAUGAAGACCUGGAAACUACAAGGCAAACCUGGUAUUGAACAUGUUGGCUGAGAAGCAAAGUUGAUUGCGAGUCGCAUAUGAUCCCUAGAAGCAAAGUUGUUCCUUCCACCAGGGAUUUUGCAAAAACAAUGAUUCCCCAUUUCCGACAGCAGUAGGGCAGAUCAGAGUUGCCUCAGCAUCUAAACGUAUCAAACUUGAAUUACUUCUCUAAAAUACAUGAAAGAAAAGAGAUUAUUUGAAUAUGAGCCAAUGAUGUUAUUUCUUAAUUGAAGUAUAAAUGA